AAGGCUUUACGGCGAACCGGUGCCUGAUGUAAACAAGGACAAGAAAGAAAUAGCGUGAAGGUGCUGCAGUGUUGCACCAAAUCGCAGAGUUUCUGCGAGAGAUUCAAUGUACCUUGCUCUCUGGGUUCCAGUUUUCCCUUUGCAAGUAUGAAUUUAAGAGCAAGUGAGUUUUUCUUCAGCGCUAUCAUCUUUUCUAUACCGUCAACGAUUUCCCGUGAAAGCAGAGAGAUACUUACGCCUGCUCCAGGCUGCUACAAACUUCACGAAGUGUACAAAACUUGCGCAAGUGGCAAUUGUGCCGAAGCAACAUGCAGGAAGCCAACUAUAGGACCUCAUUGCAGAAGGAACUGCGUUAAGGGGUGCUUCUGCGUGGAAGGGUACUACAGGGAGGACGUUAGCGGAUAUAAAUGGUGUGUGGAGUGGAGUGAGUGCCCGCCCAAUUCAACUCCUCCGUUCAGUUGGUACCGUAGGCGACCUAGGCGCAGACAUUAAUAAAGGAAACCGUGUUUCUU
rnacentral:lncRNA from 1 species